UACAGAGGUCGCAAGCGUUGUCCGGAAUCACUGGGCGUAAAGGGCGCGUAGGUGGUGGGGUAAGCCUGCGGUGAAAUCUCACAGCUUAACUGUGAAACUGCAUUGGAUACUAUCCGGCUCGAGGAAUGGAGGGGAGACUGGAAUACUUGGUGUAGCAGUGAAAUGCGUAGAUAUCAAGGGGAACACCAGUGGCGAAGGCGAGUCUCUGGACAUUUCCUGACGCUGAGGCACGAAAGCCAGGGGAGCAAACGGG
rnacentral:rRNA from 1 species